rnacentral:rRNA from 1 species
GACGAACGCUGGCGGCGUGCUUAACACAUGCAAGUCGAACGGAAAGGCCUCUUUCGGGGGGUACUCGAGUGGCGAACGGGUGAGUAACACGUGAGUAACCUGCCCUUGUCUUUGGGAUAACUUCAGGAAACUGGGGCUAAUACCGGAUAGGAGCUCCUGCUGCAUGGUGGGGGUUGGAAAGUUUCGGCGGUUGGGGAUGGACUCGCGGCUUAUCAGCUUGUUGGUGGGGUAGUGGCUUACCAAGGCUUUGACGGGUAGCCGGCCUGUGAGGGUGACCGGCCACAUUGGGACUGAGAUACGGCCCAGACUCCUACGGGAGGCAGCAGUGGGGAAUAUUGCACAAUGGGUGGAAGCCUGAUGCAGCAACGCCGUGUGCGGGAUGACGGCCUUCGGGUUGUAAACCGCUUUCGCUCAUGACGAAGCUUUGUGUGACGGUAGUGGGUAAAGAAGCACCGGCUAACUACGUG